rnacentral:rRNA from 1 species
AUUGAACGCUGGCGGCAGGCCUAACACAUGCAAGUCGAGCGGAUGAAGGGAGCUUGCUCCUGGAUUCAGCGGCGGACGGGUGAGUAAUGCCUAGGAAUCUGCCUGGUAGUGGGGGAUAACGUCCGGAAACGGGCGCUAAUACCGCAUACGUCCUGAGGGAGAAAGUGGGGGAUCUUCGGACCUCACGCUAUCAGAUGAGCCUAGGUCGGAUUAGCUAGUUGGUGGGGUAAAGGCCUAUCAAGGCGACGAUCCGUAACUGGUCUGAGAGGAUGAUCAGUCACACUGGAACUGAGACACGGUCCAGACUCCUACGGGAGGCAGCAGUGGGGAAUAUUGGACGAUGGGCGAAAGCCUGAUCCAGCCAUGCCGCGUGUGUGAAGAAGGUCUUCGGAUUGUAAAGCACUUUAAGUUGGGAGGAAGGGCAGUAAGUUAAUACCUUGCUGUUUUGACGUUACCAACAGAAUAAGCACCGGCUAACUUCGUG